UACGGAGGAUCCAAGCGUUAUCCGGAUUCAUUGGGUUUAAAGGGUGCGUAGGCGGAAUGAUAAGUCAGUGGUGAAAGCCUGUUGCUUAACAACAGAACUGCCAUUGAUACUGUCAAUCUUGAGUACAUUUGAUGUGGGCGGAAUGUGUCAUGUAGCGGUGAGAUGCUUAGAUAUGACACAGAACACCGAUUGCGAAGGCAGCUCACAAAACUGUAACUGACGCUGAGGCACGAAAGCGUGGGUAUCAAACAGG
rnacentral:rRNA from 1 species